rnacentral:rRNA from 1 species
CCUACGGGGGGCAGCAGUGGGGAAUAUUGGGCAAUGGGCGCAAGCCUGACCCAGCAACGCCGCGUGAAGGAAGAAGGCUUUCGGGUUGUAAACUUCUAUCAGCAGGGAAGAAAAUGACGGUACCUGACUAAGAAGCCCCGGCUAACUACGUGCCAGCAGCCGCGGUAAUACGUAGGGGGCAAGCGUUAUCCGGAUUUACUGGGUGUAAAGGGAGCGUAGGCGGCGAUGCAAGUCAGAAGUGAAAGCCCGGGGCUCAACUCCGGGACUGCUUUUGAAACUGUGUUGCUAGAUUGCAGGAGAGGUAA